CUGCGGAGGGAUCAUUACUGCGAAAGGGCCUUCGGGCCCGACCGCUCACCCAUUGUUGACCAACACUUGUUGCCUCGGGGGCGACCCGGACGCCGACGCGUCGGCGUCGGGCCCCCCGACGGACCCUUCAAACUCUGUGUCUGUACGUCGGAGUACUUGAUGAAUCAAUCAAAACUUUCAACAACGGAUCUCUUGGUUCUGGCAUCGAUGAAGAACGCAGCGAAAUGCGAUAAGUAAUGUGAAUUGCAGAAUUCAGUGAAUCAUCGAAUCUUUGAACGCACAUCGCGCCCUUUGGCAUUCCGAGGGGCAUGCCUGUUCGAGCGUCAUUAAAUCCAAUCAAGCCCGGCUUGGUGUUGGGCAUCGGGGCCUCCCCGUGCCUCAAUUUCACCGGCUGGCCGUCGCCCGUCUUAGCGUUGUGACACACUUCUCUCGCUAGCGAUGGAGGCGGACCACGCCGUUAGAACCCCCUAAAUUUCGUAACGAAAUUUGAUUAAGGUUGACCUCGGAUCGGGUAGGAAUACCCGCUGAACUUAA
rnacentral:rRNA from 1 species